UAAUACGGAGGGUGCAAGCGUUAUCCGGAUUCACUGGGUUUAAAGGGUGUGUAGGCGGGUACAUAAGUCAGUGGUGAAAUCUCCGGGCUCAACCCGGAAACUGCCAUUGAUACUAUGUGUCUUGAAUCUUGUUGAGGAGGGCGGAAUAUGUCAUGUAGCGGUGAAAUGCUUAGAUAUGACAUAGAACACCGAUUGCGAAGGCAGCUCUCUAAGCAAGUAUUGACGCUGAGGCACGAAAGCGUGGGGAUCAAACAGGAUUAGAUACCCUGGUAGUCCACGCCCUAAACGAUGAUUACUCGACGUGUGCGAUACACAGUGCGCGUCUGAGCGAAAGCAUUAAGUAAUCCACCUGGGAAGUACGACCGCAAGGUUG
rnacentral:rRNA from 1 species